UGGGGAAUAUUGCACAAUGGGGGAAACCCUGAUGCAGCGACGCCGCGUGAGCGAAGAAGGUUUUCGAAUCGUAAAGCUCUGUCCUAUGGGAAGAUAAUGACGGUACCAUAGGAGGAAGCCCCGGCUAACUACGUGCCAGCAGCCGCGGUAAUACGUAGGGGGCAAGCGUUGUCCGGAAUCACUGGGCGUAAAGGGUUCGCAGGCGGAAAUGCAAGUCAGUUGUGAAAGGCAGAGGCUCAACCUCUGUAAGCAAUUGAAACUGUAUUUCUUGAGAUGUGGAGAGGCAAGUGGAAUUCCUAGUGUAGCGGUGAAAUGCGUAGAUAUUAGGAAGAAUACCGGUGGCGAAGGCGACUUGCUGGACACAAAAUGACGCUGAGGAACGAAAGCGUGGGUAGCAAACAGG
rnacentral:rRNA from 1 species